UAGGACUAUGAGAUAGCCAGUCCAGAAUCUGUGCUCGCAGGACAAGAGGAAAAUCAUUUGGCUCUUUACCAAAGAGUUUGAAAAUAAUUCGAUCUGUACGACUCUGAGCAUCUCCACUAGAACUAGAAGGUGACUGGGCAGAUGCCGAAUCUGAAUUUCCACUUGUCUGUGGGGGACUUGAUUGAUGUGAAACUUGUUGUACCCAUGAAGGGCAAUCAAGGGAGCUAGUCCCCAUGUUUGUAGGGACAGGCAAUCUAUCUACAUCUUCAGCACCAUCAUCUGAGUCAAUGUAAAUAUCAUUCAAAUCAAAAUUGUUCAUCUUGACCUGCCCCAAAGUGCUGUCUCGAACUUCUGAACAUGCUGGAUAAUUGUUCGGAAUGCUAGGUUUCACAGAAGAAGAGGUUUGCAUAUUUGCACCAUUAGCGCCAUGCGCACACCCAACUCGCUGCAGCAUUCCAGAAACAGUUACAGACAAAUGUUCCUUUAUAGGCCUUGGACGGACUUCAACAUUUGAGAGCAAAGUUGAUAGUAACUCUGAAUUUCCAG
rnacentral:misc_RNA from 1 species